rnacentral:tRNA from 1 species
ACCAGCAUGGUAUAGUGGUUUGAGUGUUGGACUACAACUCUGGAGACCAGGGUUCGAUUCCCAGCUCAGCCA